GGUCCAGGCUGGCUUUUUUUUGCCUUACCCCAGUUGUGAGCUGGCAAACAUCUCCCAGAAGAUAAAUCUAAGCGGUCCUUGUGCACUUACAGAUACAUCAUAAUUUAGUCAAUACUGCAUGAGUUCUUUGGAUUACUUUGACACACUGAACAGAACUGCUGAAACCCUGCUCUUGGAAAGUACAUUGUGCUUCAUUCAUGUAGUCCUUCAAGUGACCAGUGAUUUAAUUGUCACUGUACAACAUCAUGGCGGUAUAUCAAACAGAUAUGCUAGGUUUUCUAUAAGUGUUCUAAUGCGUGAAACAAGUUCAAUCCCAGGGCUUUUAAGUUUCCAAAUUUCAUUAUUAAUAACUCCAAGAACAAAUAGAACAGGAAAAUUUUCUUUCUUUGAUGGCGGGACUUGCUAUCUUUGUCUUCUUGCAUGCUUUUUAAAGAUCAAUACAAAAUGAUAUAAGGACACAAUAUAGCAAGAGAUUAAAACUGCAUAUGAAUUGUCACUUUUCUUUUUGCCUGGAUAUCUCUAGGUGUGUUAGAGGAUUGUUGCUUAAAUAAAAACAAGAGACAGUGAUAUGCUACUAGUCCAACAUGAAUUAUUUUGCCUCUUUAAUUCACAAAUUCUGUACAUAUGAAGUUAAGUUGUCUGUCUGUUUGAUCCUCUGUCAUUCUGACACCCUUUGCCCUGCAGUUUUAACUAGAGUAGCUAGCAGACGACAUAACUUUUUACUGCAAGUUUCAUCAUUGUAUGGUGCAAAGGGCCUGUCAGAUGCUGAUGCCACUGGGAAAUUGCUACGAGAUAGAUGGAGAUUAUUUUUGUUUUACUUUUUUUAUGUCCCUUGUUCUAUUCUCCCUCUUACCUCCUUUUGCUUAAGGGGAUCACGGUGGAGGAAUUGUAAGUGUGUGAUGAAUCGAUCAGCGGGGUGCGAUAGCAGCAUUAAGCUAUCCAUCCAUCAGGACUGCAGUGCAUUUGUGCAAGUGGGUGCUGGUUGGCUGGUAUCUCAGGACUGUUCUCAAGUGAUGGAAAGGCUUUCACUUCUGAAUUCCAGACUCUGCUGUGUUAGAAAUCUUUCUAACUUGAAAUUGUUUCAGUGUAUAUAGAAAUAGUAAAUAAUAAGAUAAAAGAUUUGUUCUCAGGGGGAUAUUUCUGCAAAGCACAACAAGCUCCUUUUAUAUUGACUGUUUAAAAAAAGCCAUCCAUUUUUUAUUGUAAAGAGGUCACUGUGGACUCAAAGUAACAGAUGAAAAGAUCUCUUAUAGUAAUAUUUCAAUCUAGUUUAUUUGGCUGUGGUGUAUAGAAUGGAUUUAAAUUCCCAAGUACUGUAGGAGUUGUUUUAUCACUUUGGAGUUCUGUAUAUGUUGUCAAAUGACAUGCUGCCAAGAACAGAUAUUGAAUUGCAACUAUGGCUAUAGUAAUUGUAUGAAUCUUACUGGAGAUGUAUCUGAAAAUCUUGCAGCUGCAUGUCAAAACCUUUAUGUGGACAUUAGCCAAUGUUAAGGCUCCUGAGAAUAGCGAUAGCUGAGGAAGAGUGUGGGUAUCUUACAGAUAUGUGCCACCUUACUGAUUUCAUUAAUUCUCCCCGAAUGCCUUAAAUGUGAUUUUUUUUUUUUGAACGCUCAUACAUUAAGACCUCUGUGCUGAAUGUGAUUCCUUAAAAAGGGAAGUUCUUUUCAAAUGUCAGAGUUCAGUUUAUGCUGCAAAUUUUCCAAGGCUUGAACCAUUAGAAAACUGUUCAGGAUAAUAAGCUUAGUGUAAAAUCGAAACAAGAUAAUAAAGAUUGUCUUCGUGUCUUCCU
rnacentral:lncRNA from 7 species